GAUGAACGCUGGCGGCGUGCCUAAUACAUGCCAGUCGAGCGAACGGACGAGAAGCUUGCUUCUCUGAUGUUAGCGGCGGACGGGUGAGUAACACGUGGAUAACCUACCUAUAAGACUGGGAUAACUUCGGGAAACCGUAGCUAAUACCGGAUAAUAUUUUGAACCGCAUGGUUCAAAAGUGAAAGACGGUCUUGCUGUCACUUAUAGAUGGAUCCGCGCUGCAUUAGCUAGUUGGUAAGGUAACGGCUUACCAAGGCAACGAUGCAUAGCCGACCUGAGAGGGUGAUCGGCCACACUGGAACUGAGACACGGUCCAGACUCCUACGGGAGGCAGCAGUAGGGAAUCUUCCGCAAUGGGCGAAAGCCUGACGGAGCAACGCCGCGUGAGUGAUGAAGGUCUUCGGAUCGUAAAACUCUGUUAUUAGGGAAGAACAUAUGUGUAAGUAACCGUGCACAUCUUGACGGUACCUAAUCAGAAAGCCACGGCUAACUACGUG
rnacentral:rRNA from 1 species